GCUGAAUGUGGGGAUAAUUUAUUUCCGGGUUGUAGGUAACGCGGUAAGCACUCCGCCUGGGGACUACGGUCGCAAGACUAAAACUCAAAGGAAUUGACGGGGACCCGCACAAGCGGUGGAGCAUGUGGUUUAAUUCGAUGCAACGCGAAAAACCUUACCACUCCUUGACAUGGAGAUUAGAUCCUUCUUAACAGAAGGGCGCAGUUCGGCUGGAUCUCGCACAGGUGCUGCAUGGCUGUCGUCAGCUCGUGUCGUGAGAUGUUGGGUUAAGUCCCGCAACGAGCGUAACCCUCAUCCUUAGUUGCCAGCGGGUAAGCCGGGCACUUUAAGGAAACUGCCGGUGGUAAACCGGAGGAAGGUGGGGAUGAUGUCAAGUCAGCACGGCCCUUAUGGGGUGGGCUACACACGUGCUACAAUGGUGACUACAAUAGGUUGCAAUGUCGCAAGGCUGAGCUAAUCCGUAAAAGUCAUCUCAGUUCGGAUUGUCCUCUGCAACUCGAGGGCAUGAAGUCGGAAUCGCUAGUAAUCGUGGAUCAGCAUGCCACGGUGAAUACGUUCUCGGGUCUUGUACACACUGCCCGUCACGCCAUGGGAAUUGGCUUAACUCGAAGCUGGUGCGCUAACCGAAAGGAAGCAGCCAU
rnacentral:rRNA from 1 species